rnacentral:rRNA from 1 species
GAUGAACGCUGGCGGCGUGCCUAAUACAUGCAAGUCGAGCGAAUGGAUUAAGAGCUUGCUCUUAUGAAGUUAGCGGCGGACGGGUGAGUAACACGUGGGUAACCUGCCCAUAAGACUGGGAUAACUCCGGGAAACCGGGGCUAAUACCGGAUAACAUUUUGAACCGCAUGGGUCGAAAUUGAAAGGCGGCUUCGGCUGUCACUUAUGGAUGGACCCGCGUCGCAUUAGCUAGUUGGUGAGGUAACGGCUCACCAAGGCAACGAUGCGUAGCCGACCUGAGAGGGUGAUCGGCCACACUGGGACUGAGACACGGCCCAGACUCCUACGGGAGGCAGCAGUAGGGAAUCUUCCGCAAUGGACGAAAGUCUGACGGAGCAACGCCGCGUGAGUGAUGAAGGCUUUCGGGUCGUAAAACUCUGUUGUUAGGGAAGAACAAGUGCUAGUUGAAUAAGCUGGCACCUUGACGGUUCCUAACCAGAAAGCCACGGCUAACUACGUGCCAGCCGCCGCGGUAA